GAAGCAGUGAUUGAGCACCUGGUGGGAAGGCAGGGCCAACCCAGGGGAGCACAGGUGCAUGUAAUGCAAUGCAAUGCAGAUGAAUGACCUGAAGAGGUGGAGCCAGGAUUUGCCCCUUCCCAGCCCUCAUUUAAUGGCUGGCAGUGGAGGUGAGGGGAUCUUGCUGGUGGUACCUGCCUAUUUGAGUCCUUCUAAAGGUGAUAAAAUGAUAGCGCGAGGAGGGGGGCUGCGUGAAUCAACCAUUACAUACAAUUCCUCUUAAAAGGGCAGCUUUCAACAAAGAUCAGGGCUAGAUUUGUUCCUCUUCAUCACAACCUUUGCCUCUGUGACUCCAUGGAGAAGUCUGGAGCCGUGGUGUAAAUUAUUGAUAAGGCCUGUGGAUUAUUGUACCAGGGGGACAGCUGGGAGCAUCUUCACCUGUUUCUCUGUACAAAUAGGCCAAAAAGCUUCUACGAAUUAACAUCUGGAUGAAGAUCAGAGGUUGGGAAAACAUGUCCACUCUUAAUUAAAACAUAUCCAUCACUGGAUAAUUCUCUGCUGAUUCUGAGGAAAUGCUGCCAGUGGCCAUGCUCUUUAACAACCAUCUUUUAGGCAGAUGGAUCCAGAUUCAGCUCUUGGCUGUUUGACUUUCUUCCACUCUUGCCUACGACACCCUUACAUUCUGCUCAGUUGAUUUCAGCGAUACCUUGAAGACAGGAAUUUGGGGCCUCAAACCACCAUUCCAUGACACCAGCUUAGCUACAUGGAACUGAGGGUCAGGUAAACCCAAGCUACCCUCUCCACACUCUGCAAGUUAAGGCACAGGACUGUAUGCGAUGUGACCAAAGCUGUGAUGAGAGACUUGGCAGAGUGAAAGAGAAAACACUUUGAGCUUCCCACAGGAGAGAAAAGAAUGUGAGGACUUCUGGUUUUAUUCUUUUUCUUUUUGACUUGAAUUUAAGCAACUUUUGUCAUUGUAAAGAAUCCAAAGGAGAUCCUCAGCAUCCUGUCCAGAACUAGUCCUUAUUCUUAGUUUUUAUCCAAAACACUCUGGCUGAGGUUGCCCAAUGAAUCAAAGUUUUCAGCUGAUCAUGAAAUUAAUAAAUAAGGUGACACACUUGAUCU
rnacentral:lncRNA from 1 species